AUGCCAUGGACCUCAUGGAAUAUUCACCUUCUAGCAUGUUCUGAACAACCUCCAUGCCAUGGCCAAUGCAAUCGCCACCACCCUGCUAGCAUGACCAAUGUAGCUGGACAGCACUUAAGCAUGCCACUCGUUGCAGAGAUGACCCAAUUCAAAGCCCUCUACGCAAGGAGGAAUGACAGAAACCUAAAUGCAGUCCUGAUCGCAGAUGAACAGUUUUACCAGGCGACCUACUCUAGCAGUGGCAGAGGGAGGAGAGGUGAGGGAGAUGGUGACUGCAGGGCCAAGGUUUCACCCUCGAGUCACCACUGCUCAAUCACGAGAGCCCCUUUUGACACUCGUGCUAUUGCGCAUCCCUUGCCUGGCCCAUAUAGGUGUUAG
rnacentral:rRNA from 1 species